rnacentral:lncRNA from 10 species
AAUUUGCUAUUCGGUGACAUAAGAGGGGGAGUGCGCUUUGCUUUCCCGGGGUCUGGGGCUAAUUCCUUCUUUCUUACCCAUAAACUCAGCAGAUCGAGCUAAAUGCACAAAAGGGAGCGAGAGGUUUGAACCACUGGGAAAAGUAUGUUAUAUAUAUAGUAGGGUUAGAGAGGCGAGUAAGAGAAAAAUAAAAUAAAAUAAACAUCACAGCUCUUUCCAACUAGAAUAUUAGGCACCACGAGAAAAAUAUUUGCCAAGCAGUUUUCGGUCUUGAGAUUUUUGUUUUCGAGGCUCGUUUCAAGGUCGUUGUAAAAAAAUCUCUUCAGUCUGUGUUUAAGAGAUCAGCCGGAGGGAAUUCUAAAGGCCUGCCGUGCCAGUAUCACAGAUACUGCCUGUAUUUAGAACAGACUGCCACAACUACAAUGCACUACACGCAGCACAGUCUUCUUAGCUUUGAAGCUGAGUUGGGGGGUGGGGUGGGGGGGGGGUAGAGAAGAAGGAGAAAUUCUUUCCUUCUCUUUUUCUCUAUUACUUUCUUUUUAAAGGCAAUUGCAGUGCAGAAUCAUUUCAUUGUGGGUCCUAGUUUGUUUGUUCAGAGCUGCUAGUUUCCUUAUUUAAAUGUUGGUUCGGGUUUUUUCCCCUCCUACUCAUCCCUGAAUAAGGGAGACUCUUGUUUCUUUUAUGUCUCUCUCUUAAAAGAAGGGUGUGAGGGGAAAAUAAUAUUUCAGAUUCCUCAAGAAUUAGCCCAAAAUGUUUGGACCAGAAGCAGCUUUCAAAGGUCAGGCUGUUCUGAGCCUUGGCUAUGAGAGUCCUUCAAGCGACUUAUUAAAUUACAGAUGAAUUCUUAAAGCUUCCACAAAAUCUCGUCACUUGUUAAUUUCUAAUAAAGAUAUGUCUAAAAUAAUCUACCUAUCUCAACCCAAAAUUUGGGUUUAUAAUGGAGGAGUGAUCAGAGCUGUGAAAGAUUGCUGUUUGCUGGGAUAUUUGGAAAAUCUCUUUCAUUGACAGUCCCGUAAGAAGUUCCAUCUAUCACCGAAAAUGUUGUUGGCAAUGCACCCCCCUACCCCACAACACACACACAUUUUUAAAGGCUGUAUUUUAGGUUUUAAAACCCAGAAAGGUGCAAAGAGGUUGAUUAUUUUCCACAAGGGCUGGAGCUUAGGAAAUAUGCGUUAAAGUGUCUGUCCCUGUGAAAUCUGAAUAUUUUAAUACUUAUUGACAGAUGGAUUACUGCAGCCUCUGCAGAAAAGCCUGUCUUGUGAACGGUUUUUGAAAAAUAUACAUAGGCCUAAUCCUGUCACUGUUGUUGAAAUGUACGUUUUACCCCCAAAGACACAUGAUAUUGUCAAGUUCAGAUUUAUUCUGCCAGAAGGCAGACUAUCUGCUUUUUCAUUUGAGUCCCCUUCCUUCUCAUUUUCAAAGAAAUUAAAAUGAAUCCCGCUGGAUGCAAAAUGACACCCCGAUUUUGUGGAAGGGAUUUUCUUUGUGUGUUUAUAUGUGUAAUUUUUUCUUUUAUGAGCAAUUAGCACUUUAGGAUUUCUCAGACGUAUCUAUAUGGUUUGGAAUGUGAAUUGUAUGGCUCUGCCUUACUAUUGGGCCCUCAAAAGAUUAUUUUUAUGAUUUUUGGUCACUUUUUUCUUUGUCAAAACUGCCAUUCAGCCUCAUCCACCGCCCCCCUCAACCUGAAACACAGCUUGUCCCUCCUGUGUUCCCUUUGCCACUCCACUCUUAGCCCCAUGGGGGCGCUGCAGAGCAAAGGGAAAUCUGCUCUCUAAGGCAGUAGUAGAACCAGCCAGAGUGGGGGCUGGGAAGGAAUUCACCCUUCUCAUACCUCAGCCCUCUUUAAUUCUCUGCAGUGAGCCCCUAGAGGGAGAACCCACCAGGGCUGGUUCAUAUAUAAUUAACCUCAUCACCAGGGACCUCAAAUCUUCCCAGCAUAUUAUUUCUGGGACCAAGUGCCAGAGUGCCACAUUUUCCUACUGCUUUUUGCCAAAUCAAUGUGUUUACACUGAAAGAAAUUGACCAGAACAGAAGACCAGUUAGAAAGAAAGAGAAAAUCAUUAUUGAAAAUUUUCUAAAGAUAGGCACUUACUUUUCGGAUUCCAGAGGAGAUCCAGGUGGUGAUCAAAGAGGAGACCCUGUUGGCAAAGCUCCCUUCUGGCACUGAUGAACUGGAUGUAAGGUCUAUCUCUUGUCCCUCUGAAUGAUAACAAAAAUAUGCUUACCUAAAGUUGCUCCCUGGAUCUCAACAGAAACUUCAUAACUGGUCAUUGCUUCCAGAAAACCUUCCUACCAUUCAGGCUUACACAUAGCUGGCCACUCAGCUAAGACAAGUAAUGGGCUGAGAAAAAUCAAAUAAAAGUGUGUGGUUUUGAUAUAUGCAUUUUAUUACUGGCAUUAGUCAAGUAAUCAUGGGCCAGUGAAUUUUCAAAGCAGCCUUUUAAUACUCAAGCACAGUGCAGAGUAAGAAGGAUGAGAAUAUGACCUUUUCAAAGCCCCAUUUUUCUUAGGCCUUUUAGUAACUCCAUGGCCCCAACUCUGGAAUCUGAAGACUUAAUCUUAAAAGAUUAUGUGGGAAGAGGCAGCAAGGUGUAGAUAAAAACAUGCUGAGCCUAAAGUCGAAAAACUGGAGACUAUAUUUUGAUGGUAAAUAUCAGAUGUAUGACCCUGGCAAGGCAUUUGACUUUCUGGCCCUGGUUUCCUCCAUGAAAAACUGGGAUAAUAUUCAUAUUUGUCAUUUGUAACUACUACUGUGUUGUUCAAAGAUAAACAGAAAGGGUAUAAGAUAUUCGAAUAUUAUUAUUUUCAUUAAUUAUAAUUAUAGUAUUAGUGCUCAAUUGCAUUAGGCUUCUCCUUAAAACAAAAUUGCUUGUAUGUCUGAAUGGAUCAGGAAAAGAAGAUGGGAGGGGCAAAAAAAGGAAAGUCACUCUUUUCCUGGAAAGCGUUGUUGUUUAAUUCUUUUCUUGGAGUAAAAAAUCCCAGCCACGCCGUAGGGAACAGAACAUAGGCUUCUCUUUGAUGUCACCCCUCACCCAAUAGUAUCACUUCCCUUUUUUCACCAACCGCUUCAAAGAUCUUACGUCUGGGCUUCUGUAGUGACCACGCCAAACAUUUAAAUCCCCCACUUAAACAAGUACCAGAGACGAAACAACCAAAAGAAAGACAAAGCAAGAGGAGAGAGGGUAGAAAGAGAACAAUACAAUCGUGUUCUUUGAAAGGAUGAUGGUUAAUAAGACUUACUUUAGUUUAGAGCCAAAUAGUUUUCUUCCAACAGAGACGGUCAUAGCAAACCCAGACAGGAGCGGGCAGGAGCAGAGACGUGAGCCCUGCUCUCUAACUAGUGGUAUUAUCACCCAUUUGUGGCUCCUGAGAGAGAACAGCGGGGCAAGCCAGGCCUUAGCACUGUGCCUUGCAUUAAUUAACAAGCACGGACCUGGCCUUUCAGGUACACCAGGGAUGGGCCUCUCUCCCUCGUCUUAGGUUCUGCCGGAAGCCAGGGUGAGUCCUGUACAGAUUCUGAACCCUUCUUUAUGUGCACAGACCCAACUCUCACGCCUACCGAUGUUGGUCUGUGCUACUCCUUCAUCCAGGCAGCAAAUCAGCACGGACCCAGGGUAAGUCAUAGAAAUCAGGAAAAUGAGGUAGUUACAGAGCCUGCUAAGGAGCCCAAGAAGUGAGAGUUAGGGCAGAAAGCCUCUUCAGUCACUCCUUCACCAGGCCAUUCUUUUAUUCCUGAGUCACCCUCCACACCCCAGCGUUCAAACUGAGACCCAUCACUCUUACCAGGUAUGGACAGAUGCUGCAAAUGCUGCCUUUUGUACGACUAUGGCAAUUUGACACGAUGUUCUUCCUGUUGUGUUUGAAAUCUCCCCAUGCACUUCCUUUCAAGUGGUUAUUUCUUAGCUGGAUCGAGGAAAGACCAGCCUUGCAUAAGACAAAGCCAGUGAUCAUUAGCCAGCAUGGAGCCGUGAGCAGUGCAUGCGUAGUUAUACUAAUUGGUUGAUUGAUGCAGGUUCUGUUGGAAAAUACUGCAUUUUAAGGAAGUGCAACCUUUUAACUUCUGACAUGGAGUAGGCAGCAUGCCAAGAGAAGGACUGGACUAGUCAUAGAACAAUCCGUUGAGCCGUGGGCACUGAAUUGAGCACAAAAUAAGCAGGGUUCACAGAUUCGCAGAGGACCCAAGGAGAAGAGAGCCAGCAGGUAAUUGUCAGGUACCACAGCAAAUACCAGUAAGGUGAUCUUGGCCCCUCCUGUUUGCCAGGUCCAGGUUUGGGCAUGUCAGUUACCUCUAUUACACAUUUUUUUCCCCAGUGCUGCCAUCUAUAUUUAAUUAAAUUGCAUUAUGCAGAACCCCAUGGCUCAGAAUCCUGGAAUAUUAGUGUCUUUAGUAUUAAAAGACUCAAUUAGCCCAUGUGCACAGCGGGCUUCUCUCUCUUCCCCAAAAGGGUAGGACAACUUGUUGUUUUUGUUGUUUUUUAAUAUAUCCAAAAAUAAAACUCAUUACUCACAUUCCCAGAGUGGGCCUGGUAAGAGUAAAUGGAACCAAAGAAUCAUAAAAUUUUUGGAUUACUCCAUAUCUGAAUCUCCAACAUAUAAUGCCCCUACCAAAGUGUCUAUCCAGAUUUUUCUUAGGUAUCUCAGGGCAAGGAACUCUCCACCUUCCAAGGUGGCUCAUACCAUGGUUGAUCACAUUUAGAAGUUGAAGAGUUUAAAUUUGGACUUAUUUAUUUGUUCAAUUAUAGGAAGAAAUUUACCACAGCAAAUUAGCACUUACCAAUGAUAUCUGGGGGCUAUGGGCAUGGCUACUGACCUCAAUGGAUGCAAAUAGGAUCUAUGACCACAGAAUAUACCCCCACUCUCAACUUAUAUGUAAGUCUUUGGUCAGCAAAAUGGAUAGACAAAAUUAUAUGCCGCACACAGUACACAUCUAUUGACAGGACUAGAGGAAUAUUUAUAAAUCAUAGAUUUAGGUAUUGAUGAUAAAGGCUUAUAUGGGAAUCUUCCCUUGGUCACAGAGAAGGGAGCUAGAUCUGGUCUACUUUGAUUUUGGCUUCUAGGGGAUCAUGUGAAAACCAGGUCAAUAUCACAUUCUUGGAAAUGAGAUGGACAGUUAUUAUGUCCUAGCUCCUUAGUCAUUUUUACAGGUUUUUCCUCUUCUCUUUUGUCUUGAACCCAUGCCCUAGGUCAGAAAAUCAUAGAAUUAAAUUCCUAAUACAGUUUUGGAACUGAAAUUUUCCCAGAAGAAAUCUUAUCUGAUUUUCUUAUCCCGAAACUAGAAAAUUGAGGCCUGGAAAAAGUAGGCAGCUAGCCCAAGUUCACAGAGCUCUUUUGAGAUGAAGCCAGAACUAAAAUAAGUCUCCCAGCACCUAGUGGAGUGCUUUACUCUUUAUUAUCAAUGAUAAUAUGUUGAGUAUGUACAGGGUGUGAUGGUUUCUCUAAUGUGCUUUGGAGCAGGAACUAUAGAAAGUUUUGUGGAACAGAGAAAUGAGCCAACCCUGUAGUCUCCCCAGGUGGCAACCUUGUGGAGUGAGGAUUGCUAAUAGGCCUUUUAAAUGAUCAAAACACAACAAAUAAACAAUGCAAACACUGUCUGAUUGUAUCUGCAUGCAAAUAAAUCAAAAUGAUCCCCCGAUAAGAUGCUAGUUAUUAAGCAUCUACUGUGAUCUAGCCACUUUACGUACAUUAUAGCACUCAUCUUCCCAAUGACUCUGUAAGAUUGGUGUUAUUAUGCUUGUUUUUCAGGUGAGUAAACUGAGGCUCAGAAGACCGAUAGCCAAUGUAGCAGAGAUAAGAUUUAGAGGCCAGUCUUCUGGCCUCAAAAUCUGUGCUGUUUUUCACCAUGUCUACCAUCUUCUCCAGAUUUCUCAAACCCAUUCUGUGUCCCAUCCACCAACAAAGCCCACACAUUUUAUAUGGCUGGUGCUGGUAUGGAAAAAACUUGAGACUUUUUAAAAAUUCCAUGGCUAUUAGUUUAAUUAUCUCAUCAGUCAGUUAAGGAAGUAUCUCCUUUAUUUAUUGGUGUGUUUCUCAUAUUUAAUGCAUGUUAUUAAUGUAUUAAAUUAAUAAUAGUAAUGCAAAUUAAAACUGUAGCAUCUGGUGUUAAGCGGCAAUGCUUGAUAUACAAACUUAAAUAAAUAAAUAACAUUCUGAAAUAUUUAUUUACCAGUCAUAAUUUUAAAAAUUGUUUAUACUAAAACAUGUUUAUAGUAAAGACUAUCUGCAAAAUUGAAAAUCAGAACUUGUGGGAUUUUUUUGCAGUAAUGCUAAGUCCAGCAUUUGGUUAUAAAUUCUUUGCAUACAUUUUUUUCUUUAAUGUAUGCAUUUUUAAAAUAUAUAUUUUGAUGUUUUAAAUAGAAAACAUGGA